UGCUCAGCAACUCCUAUCCUUACCUCCUCGUGGUACCGUCCGGAAACUAUUGGCAACCUUAGGGAAGAUCGGGUAACCAACCCCGGGGAAAACUUUGGUCAUAGGCUGACAGGGAAGG
rnacentral:ribozyme from 1 species